UGUCCGUAUUAGCGUUUAAUAUGAGUGCUUUAAACCGAAGCUUGAAAUAUUAAAAGCAUGAAAUUAUAUCUUUUUGACGAUAUCUAAUUUAUCUAUACACUGAGUAGUUAUAAAAACAUCAAACGUGCGGGAUUUUGCGUGUCGUUGUAAUAUGGUCGUUAUAAAAUAAACAAGAUAAUCCUUGUUUAAAGGGAGUUCCAAGAUUAAAAGAAAGGAAAGUAAUUUUAUCAUUAUUAUAAAUCUGCUUGUUCAGUUGAUACAGAUGUACAUGUAAGUCGUGCGUUCAUGUUGUACAUUGAAAAUAUAAUGCAAAUGCUUAUGCCCGCGUCACACUGUCCCGAUUUUUACGCCGA
rnacentral:lncRNA from 1 species